rnacentral:rRNA from 1 species
UACGGAGGGUGCAAGCGUUAUCCGGAUUCACUGGGUUUAAAGGGUGUGUAGGCGGAUAUUUAAGUCAGUGGUGAAAUCUCCGGGCUCAACCCGGAAACUGCCAUUGAUACUAUUUAUCUUGAAUAUCGUUGAGGUAGGCGGAAUAUGUCAUGUAGCGGUGAAAUGCUUAGAUAUGACAUAGAACACCAAUUGCGAAGGCAGCUAGCUACAGGGAUAUUGACACUGAGGCACGAAAGCGUGGGGGAUCAAACAGG